UUCCCAACAUGAGCCUGUGUACUGUGUGUAUUGCCUGUUUCCAUUGUGAGUAGAGAACCUGUCUAGUGAGCACAUUAGACUUUCAGAGGCCAAGCAUGCAUAAAAGCAUCAUCCUACAACAGAGCAGCCAGCACUCAGUGGAUUAUGGGAGGCAGAGGGCUGUGAAGGAUACCCUAGUUGUGGUCUCAAGUCUUGAAAUGUUGACUUUAGAGGAUGCAGUCCUUGAUUUUGCUCUCCGAUAGUGAGCUGGUGACCUAAGGCGAACACAUGCAUAGGGUCCUCAUCCUGACAUCAUGUCCUCAUGAACUUUAACUAAAUUAUGCUCUGGAGCCAUGUUUCCCAAAAUGGGUUGCAGUCCCUUUUUUAUUGGGUCUCCAAUAAUGGAGACCCCUGUAUAAUGUGUAAUAUGUGGAGAAGCUCUCAGGGUUUGGUUUUAAAUACGACGGGUAUCUCCAAACGCAACAUCCGCUGUAUUUGGGGACAGUCCAAACAUCUCUUUGCAAAGAAGAAUCCUUCAAGAGGUGUUGAUUUGAAUUUGUCACAACAUACUUGUGUGUGUGAAUCGGACUUUCCAAUUCACAAAUGCAUUUUGUAGACAUGGUGUUUUGCCCUUCAUCCAUAGUUUGUAGAUGAUUUUUGUAAAUUUGGGUCUCAGGGAGACACCAGAUUCCUCUUUCGGGUCUUUAGCUGAAAAAAGUUUGGGAACCACUGCUCUGGAGCGUUUAAGCCCUCAGUAUGGUUUUGGAGAUGUGGAGCGCUGCUGCUGACUCAGACAAUGCCAGACUGACCAUCUGGAGUCAAAACCCAAAUUGGGCCAUAAAAAGACACAUGCACACAGACAGCCAGUGCACAGCUGUUAUGCACAGCAGUUAUGCAUUCAGUUUAGUGGGUUGCCUGGCACAGUGUGGUUACUGCCCGCUGCUUGUCAUUUCUGUAGACUCAGUUUAUAACGUCAUUUCAUCACAGCUAGCAGGUGGCUGUUGUCUUACUUUAAGUUAAUAACAAAGGAAAAGUGAAGCAUCCGAAUUACAUCACUUUAGAUUCUUAAGCUCUGUGGGAUGUUGGCCUGGGGAGGUGAUAAACAUGGUUCCUCCUAAGGUUUACCAAAUUAACACAACAAAGGGUCAUUUUGUUCCCCAGUUCUAGUGCUAGGGGGUUAGGACCUUGGCUCAUAGAUACGCUCCCGUUUUGAAUAUGCAGAAAGAAGCUCUCCGGGAGCAGUUCAAAGCACGCAACACUAAAUCUAUGUGCUUAGCUCCACUGUGUAAGCACACUUUUUUUUUUUUUUUUUUUUUUCCCUCUGACCUCUCAGUUCUGUGUCUUUGUGCUUGACAUGUUCAUCUGCACUCACAUCUUUUCAGGCGCUCGCACUUUGAUCUUCCGGCGCUCAAUAUAUCAGCGUGCGACAUUGUGAACCAUGUGCUCAACAUUUAGAUUCUAAAUUUACACCACUGAAAUAGCUCCUUAUGCAUUUAGCGCUGCUGCCGGCAGUAGCAGUAUUUCUGCAGUGACGAGGACCAGAGCUUUAGAGAGGAUUUAAGGCUGCUAGCCCACUUAAAGUUAAAACAUAAGUGGAAGUCAUGGGCAGACGAAAAGGUUAUCUAGAUUUGCGCAGUAGGAUAAUGUUUAGCUCAGUUUGCAGGUCUGGUUAUAUCAGAAAUGUAAAACUAAAAGCUCUCAAAGUAUUUUGAUUAUCUCAGAUUUAACUUGCAGGACUUCUUUCUUACUUGUUUCAGUGAAGAAAAACUGCUAUAAAACUACCAACAAAAAAGAAUAAACAGUGUUGAUUCUUUGUGUGUUUAUUCAGUUUGUGUGUUCAUAUUUUAGAUAGUAAUAUCAUUACACGGCAUUGGAGGUUUCCAUGUCAUAUUGUCCAACAUAUUCUGACAGUUAAUUUAAAUGUCCAUGUGGGUCGUGGUGUAUCUCCAAGCUGGUUUUGAGUCAGAAGUCCAGGGCUCCUAGAGGGAGAUGGAGGAAACUCCUGGGUUGCAGAAAAUACUGCAAAACUUCUUACUUUAACUGGGUGGGUUUGCAUAACAAACACAGCAUAGCAGCAUACAAAUCAUACUCACUAUAUUCUCACAUUGUGCUUACACUGCUACAUUCAUUUUAAAGGAAUUCAUUAGAAUAUGCCCCGUAUUAUCAAGUAGAAAGUGUGGGUAUGUUUAUUAAUGCGCCUCUCCACUGCAGUGCUGUUUUUUUUUAUUUCCCCUCUGGGUCUGCUUGUUUACAGCAGCAUUUAGAGGAACAUGUUUGUUCGCUUCCUUCUCUUGAUUUCCCUGAUAACGAUCUAACUAAAUGUUACAUAGAAAGUUUCUAAAGUGUCAGAUAAACACCACUGCCUGUAAGUGAGUGCCUCUACAGUCAAUAUUAAGGAUUACCACCAGAUUUAAUUAGAUUGUAAUGAGACCUAAAUAAGAAAAGCUGCCUAUACUGAUCAGUGUUUAAAACAGCAUUUUUUAUUUUUUUUAUUGUACCAAAAGAACCUCUGGUUAUCGCGGUCAUUUGCAACCAAACACUGGAGCUAAGUCCUGUCCUGGUCUUGUAUUUAAAGUAGAAAAGCUUUAAGUGUCCCUCUAAAUGGUAAAAGUUAUCAUGUAUCAUAACCAUCUAUAUAUUUAUUGUGUUAUUGUUAAUGAUUUAGGUCCUGGUUGCCAUGCUAUAUCUCAAGUAUGUGGUUUAUCAUUAAAAUCUUCUUUUCUA